GUUCAGCUGUACAGAGUUGAUUUCUCUACAUAUUAAGAUCAGAAAUAAUGUGCCAUGGGGUGAUCUUUGAGUUCAGUUGCAGGCAGUCAAUUUGUCCACAUAUUAAGAUCAGAGAUAAUGUGCCAUGGUGACCUGUGUAUAACUGAAAUUCAGAAUGAACUCAAUCUACCAUGUGAGUGCCUGCGAUACACUCAGGUUGCAGUUUCUCAAAUACUGAAUGUUUAGUCCCUUGAGACUCCAUAUUGGCUCAACUUGCAGUUUUCUGAACUCUAUUUCAGAAUGUUAUACCCGAUGUCUCGGCUCGCAAUUUUUGGUGUUGCUUCUGUUCUUUGGUGACAGUUAGCUAUCUGAAUGGUUUAGCAAAGGAUAGCUACAUAGUAUGGCAAAGUACAUUUGGUAUCCCGCUGAAGCUGAAAACAUACAGAGCACCUGUAAUUAGUUUUUGGUCGACGAAUUUCAGCUAGAUUAUAGUGUUGCGGCUCUGAACUGUGGUGAUUGUGUGUGAGUGGAAUUUUAGCUAGGUCGCUGCCCUCGCGCCCUUCGCUGCGGGAGCCGGAGCCGCCCACCGCUCGAGCGGCUCAGCUUGCCCUGGCCUCCGCCCCGCCGCCCCGGUCCUAUUCUGCCCCCACGCGAUUCGAUGAUGAGGACGCUAGCGGAGAACCGCUGCUACAAAUCCUCACGCUCGCCUCCACCAGUCACAUGGUCUCCAGUCAUCAAGACACCCCACCCUCCUCGACUGCUGCUGGUGCUGCCGACACCACUAUUCUUCCUCUCGAUCCGGUUCCGGCGAGGAACCCAUCACCGCGCCGACCAGUCCAAGGAACUCACAUCACCUCCAUCAAGGAAAACAAUGACCUAUGUGAUUACAAAUGUGUGCUUGCUUCUUCAUGAAGAGCCAAAAAAGAAGUAUAGACGUUGAUGCAAAUGUAUGGAGCACGGUCACCAACAGAUCCACACAUUUGGUCAGUGAUGAAUCAAUGCAACCUAUUGG